rnacentral:rRNA from 1 species
GUCCCGCAACGAGCGCAACCCUCGACCUUAGUUGCCAGCAUUCAGUUGGGCACUCUAAGGUGACUGCCGGCUAAAAAGUCGGAGGAAGUGGGGAUGACGUCAAAUCAUCAUGCCCCUUAUGACCUGGGCUACACACGUGCUACAAUGGGCGGUACAAAGGGUCGCGAACCCGCGAGGGGGAGCCAAUCCCAAAAAGCCGCUCUCAGUUCGGAUUGCAGGCUGCAACUCGCCUGCAUGAAGCCGGAAUCGCUAGUAAUCGCGGAUCAGCAUGCCGCGGUGAAUACGUUCCCGGGCCUU